GAACCUACGGCCGGCCUAUACACUGCAGUCGUAACGGUGCCUUCGGGCAUAGUGGCGCACGGGUGCGUAACACGUAUGCACCUACCUUACAUUGGGGGAUAGCCUUUCGAAAGGGAGAUUAAUACCGCAUAACACAGUGAGUUGGCAUCAGCUUACUGUUAAAGAUUUAUCGAUGUAAGAUGGGCAUGCGUCCAAUUAGUUAGUUGGCGAGGUAACGGCUCACCAAGACGAUGAUUGGUAGGGGAACUGAGAGGUCGAUCCCCCACACUGGCACUGAGAUACGGGCCAGACUCACUACGGGAGGCAGCAGUAGGGAAUAUUGGGCAAUGGACGCAAGUCUGACCCAGCCAUGCCGCGUGCAGGAAGACGGCCCUCUGGGUUGUAAACUGCUUUUAUAUAGGAAGAAAGAAUCCUUGCGAGGAUAGUUGACGGUACUAUAAGAAUAAGCACCGGCUAACUCCGUGCCAGCAGCCGCGGUAAUACGGAGGGUGCAAGCGUUGUCCGGAUUUAUUGGGUUUAAAGGGUGCGCAGGUGGUUUAU
rnacentral:rRNA from 1 species